CCACCAUUUUUCUCAUUGAAAAUAACUGGCUACACUGGUGUGUACUAUCAAUGGCUGGCUUGACAUUGUGGAGGAAGGCAACAUACCUGCAGUCUGUGUUGCAAGUACUGUGUUUCUAAGCUCUGCCGUCUGGAUAAUAACUGUGGAUGCACGCCAUUAGGGAAGGCGGAUACAGUCUCCUGCUGCUGAGAAGCUUCCUCCUGGGAAGAGAAGUGCUGUGAAUCUUCUCCAAACCCUUCAGAGGGAGCUUUCCAACCAUGGGAGUCUGUGAGGGAUUGCUAGUGUGUCUCUGCAGUCCUGACUGAAGAGUACAAGAAGGGGCUUUUGUAUGCACUUCCCGCUGGUGCAAUUUAAUACUGAACUAAUGUAAUUGUGACAGUAACAGAACAGUUCAGUGGUCAAUGAGAUGCCAACACCACGUGGCAGAAGCAUUGCUUCUUGUUCAACAGUGCAAUUUAGCAGCUGAAAUGGAUGAGGACAGCCAACACCACAUGGCCAGUCAUUUCUUUGCAGAGCACCAGUGGCAUACGGACCACAGCUUGAGAACCUCUGGUGGAUGUAGCCAUUGCAAUAUUCUCGGUCAGUGUGAUCUGACUCCACAGUAUAAAGUGUUGUGUGCUGGUCUAUUCUGUUUAAGCUGCAUUUAUUAAAAAAAAAACCUGAAGGGUGAUACAAAAGUUUCAUUUUCAAAGGCUGCUGCUUUUAAGUCUUGUGAUCUGAAGGCCAUUUGCUUUAAAGUGAAUCAAUAGCUUUUCCCCUGCCAAAGGGCCCACACAGAGAGCUAUUCAAAUCUGUGAUGUGAAAAAGGUCCAAAGUAUGACUGUCAACCUCUAACCAACAACUAAGAAAUCCUUCAGAGUGGCAAGUAGGGACUAAAAACAUGGUUUGACUCCACCCAAA